CCUGACGCAGCGACGCCGCGUGAAGGAAGAAGGCCUUCGGGUUGUAAACUUCUUUUACCAGGGACGAAGAAAAUGACGGUACCUGGAGAAAAAGCAACGGCUAACUACGUGCCAGCAGCCGCGGUAAUACGUAGGUUGCAAGCGUUGUCCGGAAUUACUGGGUGUAAAGGGCGUGUAGGCGGAGAUGCAAGUCGGGAGUGAAAUCCAUGGGCUCAACCCAUGAACUGCUCUCGAAACUGUAUCCCUUGAGUAUCGGAGAGGCAAGCGGAAUUCCUAGUGUAGCGGUGAAAUGCGUAGAUAUUAGGAGGAACACCAGUGGCGAAGGCGGCUUGCUGGACGACAACUGACGCUGAGGCGCGAAAGCGUGGGGAGCAAACAGGAUUAGAUACCCUGGUAGUCCACGCUGUAAACGAUGAAUACUAGGUGUGGGAGGACUGACCCCUUCCGUGCCGCAGUUAACACAAUAAGUAUUCCACCUGGGGAGUACGACCGCAAGGUUGAAACUCAAAGGAAUUGACGG
rnacentral:rRNA from 1 species